rnacentral:rRNA from 1 species
UACUAGGUGCGAAGCAGUAUCGAAUUACUGGGCGUAAAGCGUGCGCAGGCGGCUUUGCAAGACAGAUGUGAAAUCCCCGGGCUUAACCUGGGAACUGCAUUUGUGACUGCAUGGCUGGAGUGCGGCAGAGGGGGAUGGAAUUCCGCGUGUAGCAGUGAAAUGCGUAGAGAUGUGGAGGAACACCAAUGGCGAAGGCAGCCUUCUGGGCCAACACUGACGCUCAUGCACGAAAGCGUGGGGAGCAAACAGG